UCGUAACAAGGUUUCCGUAGGUGAACCUGCGGAAGGAUCAUUACUGAGUGCGGGCUGCCUCCGGGCGCCCAACCUCCCACCCGUGAAUACCUAACACUGUUGCUUCGGCGGGGAACCCCCUCGGGGGCGAGCCGCCGGGGACUACUGAACUUCAUGCCUGAGAGUGAUGCAGUCUGAGUCUGAAUAUAAAAUCAGUCAAAACUUUCAACAAUGGAUCUCUUGGUUCCGGCAUCGAUGAAGAACGCAGCGAACUGCGAUAAGUAAUGUGAAUUGCAGAAUUCAGUGAAUCAUCGAGUCUUUGAACGCACAUUGCGCCCCCUGGCAUUCCGGGGGGCAUGCCUGUCCGAGCGUCAUUGCUGCCCAUCAAGCCCGGCUUGUGUGUUGGGUCGUCGUCCCCCCCGGGGGACGGGCCCGAAAGGCAGCGGCGGCACCGUGUCCGGUCCUCGAGCGUAUGGGGCUUUGUCACCCGCUCGACUAGGGCCGGCCGGGCGCCAGCCGACGUCUCCAACCAUUUUUCUUCAGGUUGACCUCGGAUCAGGUAGGGAUACCCGCUGAACUUAAGCAUAUCAAUAA
rnacentral:misc_RNA from 1 species